AACAGAGCCCACAGAGACAAUAUGGACCAAUUAGAGAAUGAAAAUUUUAGAACUUACGACACAAUUGUUGUGAACGUAGAAAUUGUAGUCCUUUAACUCCUUGUAAAGGACAGACAGGCGCAGCUAUUAGCAAAAUGGAACAUAAAAAAGGAAUACACAUGAAUUUAUCAUCAAAUUUAGCACAACAAAAUCUAAGAGACUUCAACUGUUGCUGGUAAAAGGAAACCCUUACAUGAUUUGCUACAGAGUAUAAUGGUUUUUCAUACUAAUCAUCGUCUUAAUCAAGGCAUACAGAGCUUCUUGCAACUAACCGGGUCUGAACACCCAAGUCCGCCUCCUCUUCCUCCAGACCAUUCCUCCGGCUUUUUGUUCAGAAGCUUUCUAUGUCCUCCGUCUAUGCCAUCCAUCCCAGACCUUACUUAAAAGGCAGAGUCGAUUUGAGGAAUUUUAAAGUACAGUCAUGCUACAACGUACAAUCUGAACAAAAGAUUGUAUUUCCAGACUAAUCGUAAUCUUUGUAAACAAAAGUAGGCAAGUAGAUGCGAAUAGAGAGAAGUUUACGAUUUGGCUCGAAAAGAGGGAAUUUGAACCAGUUGUUGAUGAAAAGAGUGAGUUUCGGACGGAGGAGAAAAAGAAACGACAAAAUUAAUGAAAAGAGGAAGAAAUGAAAAAUAAAGGGUUAACUUACAUGUGUAAAAAUAGAGAUUUCUCACUGGUAGUUCGUUUGUAGAUUUGAGGCUUGACUCGUAAAAGAUAGAAUGCUGAUGUGGCACGAUUUUAGGCUUGGUUUUCCUGAUUGACGUGGACACUCAGUCCUCAGUAACCUCAAACAGCUAUUUUUAUUAGAAUAGAUUUGAGUUUAAAUAUGGGGAAUUUUUUAGAAAUAGGUAAAAAAGUUUUAAUUUUUUUUUUUGCUUUUGAAAUUGUCAAAAAUCGGGAAGAUUGUAUAACUAUUUAUUCUUAGAAUCAUAUUUUAAUUAUGACCGGAAUUUGGCCAGAUUAUAUUGAGUUUGUGGUGUUAUCAUUUACCAUGGAAAGUCGAGUUUAAAACAGUUCUUCAACUGGGCCGUUUCUAAGAUUUGUUUGGUUCGACUUCAUCUACUCGAGCUAAUAUGUUCUCUAGUGUGGUGUGAGCAGUAUAAUGAGUUGUAGCUUGCUUCUCGUCCUCUAAAAAUAAUUUUGCAAUGCUUAUGUCUUCAUCUUCACAGAAGAAGUGGGAAAUCGGGAAAAAACUAUUUGAUACACUGACCUCUUUUGGUAAGCAUCUUGUAUCUCAGCAACCGUUGAUUGAUUCUACUUCUUUUCCUUCUUUCUCGCUGAAUUUUCUUUAGGAUAGGUUCUGCAAGGAGAUCGAUCUCAUAAGUAUCAUACUAAUCCCAUCUAUCAGCAGAUCUUUUAGUCACUAAAUUGAAAUAUUUGCCUUUGGAAUGAAGGUGGAUAAAGGCCUUUUGGCAUACAUUCAGAGGUCUGCCUUCUUCUCUGGUACCUGGAGGAUGGAAAAAGAAGGUCUUUCCCAGAAAGUUGCAUUUGAACCAGUCGAAAGUGCGCCUUGAUUCAAAGUGUCUAGGUACCAAGAUUAAAGGAAGGAGGAGAUGCGGUCAUCCAAAUCAGAAGAUGAAAACGACGAGCCAGAGAAGAUGCAGCUCGACCCCAAGCCACCAUGGAACAUCUUGAAGAACUCCUCAACAGCCCAAAACCGUGGAGACUCAAGGAGUACCAGUCCAAUCAAGCCCACAAACCUACAAUUAUUCAUAUGGGCGGAUAAGGACAUAUGAGCAUCUCUUGAAAGAUUCUAGCCCAACCACAAAGAUUUAAGCUAAGAUCCGACUUGGUCCAUAUUCUUGAUCCAUCAAGGACCCACAGUGAAUCAAGACUCAAACCCAGAACGGUUUAGAGCUGAUGAGAACCAAGAUCAUAAACCGGGUGAUCCAAAAUUAUCCAAUUUUAGACAUUUCCUUAUUUGGAUCAUUGCAGACUUAUCUUUGGCAUCCAGGAGACUUUUCUAUCAUCAAGAGGUUCCAUGGAAUGACUACAUAUGGACCAGCAAGCAGGAGAUCAAGCGGAUCUCUUCACACCUCAAGUUUUCUUAUCUGAUGCUAAUUAUGUCAAAUCUGGUCAAACGGAUAUAUCUUCUUGAUUUAUUCGAUCUAUCUUGUUUGGAGACCUCACAAACCAUCAAGAGACUUUCAAGACAUCACUAUUUCAUGCCAAGUUGCCUAGAUAUAAGGAACCUUCACAAUCAUCUUGACCAAAAUCAAGCGUUCAAGGCCACAUCAAUCAAACAUUUGAUUGAUUUAUCAUUUAUGAUAAUUAUUUGUAAAUAUGUUGAUUUAUUGAUACCCGAUUUUCAUGAUUCCGAUCAAUGGAAUGGAC
rnacentral:lncRNA from 1 species